UACGUAGGGUCCGAGCGUUGUCCGGAAUUAUUGGGCGUAAAGGGCUCGUAGGCGGUUUGUCACGUCGGGAGUGAAAACUCAGGGCUCAACCCUGAGCGUGCUUCCGAUACGGGCAGACUAGAGGUAUGCAGGGGAGAACGGAAUUCCUGGUGUAGCGGUGGAAUGCGCAGAUAUCAGGAGGAACACCGGUGGCGAAGGCGGUUCUCUGGGCAUUACCUGACGCUGAGGAGCGAAAGCAUGGGGAGCGAACAGG
rnacentral:rRNA from 3 species